GAAGUCAUGAAGUCUAACCCCCUUAUUAUACAGAUAAACAACAUGAGGACAUAGAGGUAGAGUGGUUUACCUAAGAUCUAGCCCAUAUCAAACAGCACUCAGAAUGUCAAAGGCAGGUCACCAAGGGACUAGACCCUCCCUCUGAAGAACAGUAUAUUUCUUUCUUGUAGACAACAUAUGGUAGGAUUUUCUAUCCUAAUCCACUCUCCUAUUCAUCUACGUUUUAUGGGCUAUGUCCAUUCCUUGAAACGUUCUCUAUCUUCACCACUGCCGACUGGUCUCCCCACCUUCCUCAAGGACUGCACAAAUCCCACUUUCUUCAGUAAGCUUCUAUUGAUCCUCUUCCUUAUCACUUCUUCCCUCUGAGAUUACCCCCAAAGUAUACCCCCCAUAUCUCUGAUAGGCAUACAGUUGUUUGAAUGUUAUGUCCCCCAUCAGAACAAGAGAGCCUUGAGAGCAGGGACAGCAUUUUUGCUUUUCUUUGAUUUUCUACCAUUUUUAACAUAAUAAGCCCUUAAUAAGUUUGUUGACUGACAAACAAAUGCCCACAGUAAAGGUCAGAGUAGAGACCAAAAUCUAGCUCCUUUGAUUUCAGGUCCACUGCUUUUUCCAGUUCUGUUAGUAAAUUGUUUUAUGAGAUAUGCCCAGAUACCCCAGUAGACACUAGACCCCAAUCACCAACCACUGGUCUCACCAAGUAACAAGAUGCCAGUCUUGGAUAAGCCAAUUACCUAAAAUCUCCAUCAUGAGGUUUAAUUCAG
rnacentral:lncRNA from 1 species